rnacentral:rRNA from 1 species
AACGUAGGAGACAAACGUUAUCCGGAGUUACUGGGCGUAAAGGGCGUGUAGGCGGUUCGUUAAGUCUGGCGUGAAAGCUCUCGGCUAAACCGGGAGAGGUCGUUGGAUACUGGCAAACUAGAGGACGGUAGAGGCGUGUGGAAUUCCGGGUGUAGUGGUGAAAUGCGUAGAGAUCCGGAGGAACACCAGUGGCGAAGGCGACACGCUGGGCCGUACCUGACGCUGAGGUGCGAAAGCAUGGGGGGCAAACAGG